rnacentral:rRNA from 1 species
UACGGGGGGGGCAAGCGUUGUUCGGAAUUAUUGGGCGUAAAGGGCGCGUAGGCGGCCUUUCAAGUGACGGGUGAAAUCCCUCGGCUUAACCGAGGAACUGCCUGUCAGACUGGAAGGCUUGAGACCGGGAGAGGUGAGUGGAAUUCCCAGUGUAGCGGUGAAAUGCGUAGAUAUUGGGAGGAACACCAGUGGCGAAGGCGGCUCACUGGACCGGUACUGACGCUGAGGCGCGAAAGCGUGGGGAGCAAACAGG